UACGGAGGAUGCAAGCGUUAUCCGGAAUUAUUGGGCGUAAAGCGUCCGCAGGUGGCACUUCAAGUCUGCUGUCAAAGACCGGGGCUUAACCCUGGAAAGGCAGUGGAAACUGAAGCGCUAGAGUGUGGCAGGGGUAGAGGGAAUUCCCGGUGUAGCGGUGAAAUGCGUAGAUAUCUGGAGGAACACCGGUGGCGAAGGCGGCAUCCUGGACCGAGAUUGACGCUGAUGCGCGAAAGCCAGGGGAGCAAACGGG
rnacentral:rRNA from 1 species